rnacentral:rRNA from 1 species
UAACCUGCCCAAGAGAUCGGGAUAACACCUGGAAACAGAUGCUAAUACCGGAUAACAACAGAUGAUGCCUAUCAACUGUUUAAAAGAUGGUUCUGCUAUCACUCUUGGAUGGACCUGCGGUGCAUUAGCUAGUUGGUAGGGUAACGGCCUACCAAGGCGAUGAUGCAUAGCCGAGUUGAGAGACUGAUCGGCCACAUUGGGACUGGGACACGGCCCAA